rnacentral:rRNA from 1 species
AUGCUUAACACAUGCAAGUCGAACGGCAGCAUGUAUUUUCUUCGGAAAAUAUAAUGGCGAGUGGCGGACGGGUGAGUAACGCGUAGGAAUCUACCUAAGAGUGGGGGACAACUUCAGGAAACUGGAGCUAAUACCGCAUAAUAUCUUUGGAUCAAAGCCGGGGACCUUUUGGCCUGGCGCUUUUAGAUGAGCCUGCGUCAGAUUAGCUUGUUGGUAGGGUAAUGGCCUACCAAGGCAACGAUCUGUAGCUGGUUUGAGAGGAUGACCAGCCACACUGGGACUGAGACACGGCCCAGACUCCUACGGGAGGCAGCAGUGGGGAAUAUUGGACAAUGGGCGAAAGCCUGAUCCAGCAAUGCCGCGUGUGCGACGAAGGCCUUCGGGUCGUAAAGCACUUUCAAUGGGGAAGAAAAGCACAGAAUUAAUACCUUUGUGCCUUGACGUUAUCCAUACAAGAAGCACCGGCUAACUCUGUGCCAGCAGCCGCGGUAAUACAGAGGGUGCAAGCGUUAAUCGGAGUUACUGGGCGUAAAGCGCGCGUAGGCCGGCAUAAAAGUCAGAUGUGAAAUCCCUGGGCUCAACCUAGGAACUGCAUUCGAUACUAUAUGCCUAGAGUAUGGUAGAGGGAAGUGGAAUUUCCGGUGUAGCGGUGAAAUGCAUAGAUAUCGGAAGGAACACCAGUGG